GCCAACUGGUACUGAUGGGACUGCACUUGUGCAAACUGCAGCGCUCACAUUCGUCAUCACUACGGCUAAGAUUUUGUCACGCAUAUUUUGAGCAAAAGUCACAGGUCACAGGCAAUAAAGAAGAAUUCACAGAAUCCCGGAGUGGUUUUGUCCUUCUCAAGGAUCUGUAUGUGUUGGGCAAAGGAUGUGCCUUCUUAUAUACCCUGACACUGUCGAUCAGGUAGAGAAUCAUCAGCCUCAUCCUAAGUUGUUACCAGCUAUACGGGGCUUGGAGAUGCUAUUGUGCCAAGAAUUUUAGCAUGAGUUUGAGGAGGAAAGGAUAUUGAGUCUGUUUCCAUUCAUUUAUUAAAUAUUUUUAAAUUUCAGUUUUAAUUUUCUGUUGAUUUUUGCUUUGUUUUGUAGCUGAAACUCUAUAUGUUUCUUAAAUAAAAAAAGAAUAUGCAAAAUGUA